UAGCCAUGAUGUGGGCAAGCAGUUAUGUACUCUUACGUUCUCUCCAAAGCUUCAAUGAUGGUCUCAUCAGUGUUCUGAGUGAAGCUUGUGUUCUUGUUGCGUAGCUG